CUGGUCUACAAACCAGAAGUGUUUCAGGAGUUCAGCCAGAGUAUGAGGCGAGCAUGUCCAUGGUCCCCUUAGUGCACACAACCACAGCUCACUUGUGACACAGGACCAGCCCUUCUGAGAAGGACCAAAACCUGAAUGAAGCUUCCAGCUCAGGCUCUCCUUCAGCUCACCCAGAGCCUGGGUCACCCCCAGAGUACAAGCGCAGCGACAAGCGCAGGGAUGGCAAGUCUGGCUCAGGGCACCAAUGGACACCCAGCACGUGUCUCCCACCCCACCAGAAUUAACAUCUGCUUUGGCAUCGGAGACUGGGUGAGCAGAGGUGGAAACGCACGGUCCAAACUUCUCUUUCAGUGGCCACUGAUGGCACAUCUGCCUCACUCCAUUUACCCUGCCAAGAGCCACAGCUGCCUCUGAGCACCCACAAGCCAUGAUGAAUUUCCAAGAACACUGCGGCUUCCACCCUGCCCAUGCUCCUGGAACAAGUCUCUGUGCUGCUGGAAGCAGGAUUUUGCGUUUUGCAGUGACCUGAUGUCAUCUGCCUCCUCCUGGCACACCACAGCACCCAGAACUCUGCAGUGGUGGGACACCUCCUUUGCUAUCCCCCCAUCCCUGCAUGCAGGAAUAUGUCAUUAAUGAUUCGA